rnacentral:rRNA from 1 species
CCACGGAGGUUGCAGUGGGGAAUAUUGGACAAUGGGCGAAAGCCUGAUCCAGCCAUGCCGCGUGUGUGAAGAAGGCCUUCGGGUUGUAAAGCACUUUCAGUGGGGAAGAAAGCCUUGGGGCUAAUACCCUCGAGGAAGGACAUCACCCACAGAAGAAGCACCGGCUAACUCCGUGCCAGCAGCCGCGGUAAUACGGAGGGUGCGAGCGUUAAUCGGAAUUACUGGGCGUAAAGCGCGCGUAGGCGGUCUGAUAAGCCGGUUGUGAAAGCCCCGGGCUCAACCUGGGAACGGCAUCCGGAACUGUCAGGCUAGAGUGCAGGAGAGGAAGGUAGAAUUCCCGGUGUAGCGGUGAAAUGCGUAGAGAUCGGGAGGAAUACCAGUGGCGAAGGCGGCCUUCUGGACUGACACUGACGCUGAGGUGCGAAAGCGUGGGUAGCAAACAGGAUUAGAUACCCCGUAGUC